CCUACGGGGGACUGCAGUGAGGAAUAUUGGUCAAUGGGCGGAAGCCUGAACCAGCCAAGUAGCGUGCGGGAUGAAGGCCCUACGGGUCGUAAACCGCUUUUGCACGGGGAUAACACCCUCCACUUGUGGAGGUCUGCAGGUACCGUGCGAAUAAGGGCCGGCUAAUUCCGUGCCAGCAGCCGCGGUAAUACGGAAGGCCCGAGCGUUAUCCGGAUUCAUUGGGCUUAAAGGGAGCGUAGGCGGGCGUUCAAGUCAGCUGUAAAAUCGCGCGGCUCAACCGCGCCCCGCAGUUGAAACUGGACGCAUUGAGUUCACAACAGGCAGGCGGAAUUCGUGGUGUAGCGGUGAAAUGCAUAGAUAUCACGAGGAACCCCGAUUGCGAAGGCAGCCUGCCGGGGUGCGACUGACGCUGAGGCUCGAAGGUGCGGGUAUCAAACAGGAUUAGAUACCCGAGUAGUC
rnacentral:rRNA from 1 species